AACGAACGCUGGCGGCAUGCCUAACACAUGCAAGUCGAACGAAAACUUCGGGUCUAGUGGCGCACGGGUGCGUAACGCGGGGGAACCUGCCCGUAGGUUCGGAAUAACUCACCUAAAGAGAUCCUCAUACCGGUUAAUCUCUUCGGGCCAAAGAUUUAUCGCGUUGGGGUGGGCCCUCGUUGGAUUCGCUGGUUGGUAGUGGACAAGCCUAGCAACGCGACGAUCCAUAGCUGGUCUGAGAGCAGGAUACACCGCACUGGGCCUGCGACACAGCCCAGAAUCGUACGGAAGGGAGCAGUGUAUAAUAUUAGACAAUGGACGAAAGCCUGACCAAGCAAUGCCGGGGGAGUGAUGAAGGCGUUAGGGAUGUAAAGCUGUUUUACACGAGAUGAUAAUGACGGUACCGGGUGAAUAAGCACCGGCUAACUACGUG
rnacentral:rRNA from 1 species